rnacentral:rRNA from 1 species
AUUGAACGCUGGCGGCAUGCUUUACACAUGCAAGUCGAACGGUAACAGGGAGCUUGCUCCGCUGACGAGUGGCGAACGGGUGAGUAACGCAUCGGAACGUACCGUGUAAUGGGGGAUAACGUAGCGAAAGUUACGCUAAUACCGCAUACGCCCUGAGGGGGAAAGUGGGGGACCGCAAGGCCUCACGUUAUACGAGCGGCCGAUGUCGGAUUAGCUAGUUGGUGGGGUAAAGGCCUACCAAGGCGACGAUCCGUAGCGGGUCUGAGAGGAUGAUCCGCCACACUGGGACUGAGACACGGCCCAGACUCCUACGGGAGGCAGCAGUGGGGAAUUUUGGACAAUGGGGGCAACCCUGAUCCAGCCAUGCCGCGUGAGUGAAGAAGGCCUUCGGGUUGUAAAGCUCUUUCAGGUGGAAAGAAAUCGCACCUUUUAAUACAGGGCUGUGGAUGACGGUACCAUCAGAAGAAGCACCGGCUA